GGGCUUGUGGUUUAGUGGUAUAAUACUCCCUUAGCAUGUGACGAAGUACGCCGGCGUCCAUCACGAUGGUUGGCUAGUUCGAAUCCGUCUAAUAUGGGAGUGGUCCGGGGUUCGAUUCCCCGCGAGUCCA